rnacentral:lncRNA from 10 species
GAGUUAGAAACCCUGCCUCUGUAUUCCCAUAGCCUGCUACAGACCUCCACGACAUCACAUGAAAGAUGACGAGCUCCAUGAGGGCCAAGGCUCUCCAUUCUUGUUCACCACUGCACACUCAGGAGCUCAUGGCAUGCUGGCUGUGCUAGUUCUAUCCUCAACAGAAUAAUUGCUGACAAACUCUCUUGCCCAGAAAAUGUCUACUGGAAUUAUGGAGUACAAAAAAACUACAAAAGCAAUGAAAAAAAGAAGGAUGUUUUAUUUACAUCCUAUUUCAAAACCAUUGCUUUCUUGCUAUUGUAUGUCUCUGCAGGCCCAAUAUCGCGCAUCUUCAUAAGAAGUUUAGAAUUGUUCCUUAUGUUUCCUUCUAACAAACACUGGUGUUAAGUUUCAAGAAGUUGGUGAAAUGGAGACAGCCAAUCCAACCCAGGAGACAGUGUUUGAAAACAGGG